rnacentral:rRNA from 1 species
UACGAAGGGGGCUAGCGUUGCUCGGAAUCACUGGGCGUAAAGGGUGCGUAGGCGGGUCUUUAAGUCAGGGGUGAAAUCCUGGAGCUCAACUCCAGAACUGCCUUUGAUACUGAGGAUCUUGAGUUCGGGAGAGGUGAGUGGAACUGCGAGUGUAGAGGUGAAAUUCGUAGAUAUUCGCAAGAACACCAGCGGCGAAGGCGGCUCACUGGCCCGAUACUGACGCUGAUGCACGAAAGCUAGGGGAGCAAACAGG